UACGUAGGGCGCAAGCGUUGUCCGGAAUUAUUGGGCGUAAAGAGCUCGUAGGCGGCCAGUUGCGUCCGCUGUGAAAUCCCGGGGCUUAACCCCGGGCGUGCAGUGGAUACGGGCAGGCUGGAGGCAGGCAGGGGAGAACGGAAUUCCCGGUGUAGCGGUGAAAUGCGCAGAUAUCGGGAGGAACACCUGUGGCGAGAGCGGCGCACUGGACCACAACUGACGCUGAUGCGCGAAAGCUAGGGGAGCAAACAGG
rnacentral:rRNA from 1 species